rnacentral:rRNA from 1 species
UGCGUAGGCGGCGCGGUAAGUCGGGUGUGAAAUCCCUCGGCUCAACCGAGGAACUGCGCCCAAAACUACCGUGCUCGAGGAAGAUAGAGGUGAGCGGAACUUAGGGUGGAGCGGUGAAAUGCGUUGAUAUCCUAAGGAACACCGGUGGCGAAAGCGGCUCACUGGAUCUUUUCUGACGCUGAGGCACGAAAGCUAGGGUAGCGAACG